rnacentral:rRNA from 1 species
AUUGAACGCUGGCGGCAUGCCUUACACAUGCAAGUCGAACGGUAACAGGUCUUCGGAUGCUGACGAGUGGCGAACGGGUGAGUAAUACAUCGGAACGUGCCCGAUCGUGGGGGAUAACGAAGCGAAAGCUUUGCUAAUACCGCAUACGAUCUACGGAUGAAAGCAGGGGACCGCAAGGCCUUGCGCGAACGGAGCGGCCGAUGGCAGAUUAGGCAGUUGGUGGGAUAAAAGCUUACCAAGCCGACGAUCUGUAGCUGGUCUGAGAGGACGACCAGCCACACUGGGACUGAGACACGGCCCAGACUCCUACGGGAGGCAGCAGUGGGGAAUUUUGGACAAUGGGCGAAAGCCUGAUCCAGCCAUGCCGCGUGCAGGAUGAAGGCCUUCGGGUCGUAAACUGCUUUUGUACGGAACGAAAAGACUCUGGUUAAUACCUGGGGUCCAUGACGGUACCGUAAGAAUAAGCACCGGCUAACUACGUGCCAGCCGCCGCGGUAACAC